rnacentral:rRNA from 1 species
UUCACUUGUUGGUGGGGUGAUGGCCUACCAAGGCGACGACGGGUAGCCGGCCUGAGAGGGCGACCGGCCACACUGGGACUGAGACACGGCCCAGACUCCUACGGGAGGCAGCAGUGGGGAAUAUUGCACAAUGGGCGAAAGCCUGAUGCAGCGACGCCGCGUGAGGGAUGACGGCCUUCGGGUUGUAAACCUCUUUCAGCAGGGAAGAAGCGAAAGUGACGGUACCUGCAGAAGAAGCGCCGGCUAACUACGUGCCAGCAGCCGCGGUAAUACGUAGGGCGCAAGCGUUGUCCGGAAUUAUUGGGCGUAAAGAGCUCGUAGGCGGCUUGUCACGUCGGAUGUGAAAGCCCGGGGCUUAACCCCGGGUCUGCAUUCGAUACGGGCUAGCUAGAGUGUGGUAGGGGAGAUCGGAAUUCCUGGUGUAGCGGUGAAAUGCGCAGAUAUCAGGAGGAACACCGGUGGCGAAGGCGGAUCUCUGGGCCAUUACUGACGCUGAGGAGCGAAAGCGUGGGGAGCGAACAGGAUUAGAUACCCUGGUAGUCCACGCCGUAAACGUUGGGAACUAGGUGUUGGCGACAUUCCACG